rnacentral:rRNA from 1 species
GACGGAGGAUGCAAGCGUUAUCCGGAAUUAUUGGGCGUAAAGCGUCCGUAGGUGGCCGUUCAAGUCUGCUGUCAAAGCUCACAGCUCAACUGUGAAUCGGCAGUGGAAACUGAAUAGCUAGAGAGUGGUAGGGGUAGAGGGAAUUCCUAGUGUAGCGGUGAAAUGCGUAGAUAUUAGGAAGAACACCAGUGGCGAAGGCGCUCUACUGGGCCAUUACUGACACUGAUGGACGAAAGCUAGGGGAGCGAAAGGG